CAAGGAAUAGUUUAUAGAGAAUCCCAGCUU
rnacentral:tRNA from 2 species